AUGGGUCGACGAACCACCGAGAAAACCUUCAUCCGAAAAAUCGUCUUCUCAGAGGACCCUACCUCGAAAGGCUGCAUAAUGGCCGCCAUGACCACCGGAUGUGGGAUAGUGCUAUGCCGGCUUGGUUCCAAAGAUGACAGCAGAAGGGCGACUCAGGAAUGCAGCGCGAUGGACCCAUGUCCAACCUUCCUAGACAUUGCCUUCUGCAAUGGCGAACUCUACGGCAUCGCGAGUCAUGAACUGUUAUAUAGGUUUGUCAUCGGCCAAAACAAAUACGGCGCUCUGGUGGUCAGCUUGGUCGAACAAUUAACCACCGAAAGACCUAUCGACGCGUAUGAGUAUGGGGCAUUUCCUUAUGCCAAAUACAUUUUCGAGCUGCAUGGCAAAGUGGCAGUGGCGUUGGAUGUCUGGGUGUUAAGCGAUAAUGUCAAGUCACAAUCAUUUAAGGCACGAUUUUUUAGGGUGUUUGAGCUCAUCAAUAGCAAUACAACACAGGCACCUAAAUACACGUGGAAAGAGCUCACAAGCUUGGGUGAACACGCAUUGUUUCUGGGUCAAGGAUGUUGCAAGGCGGUGCAUGUGGCGGGCAUGGACGGUGUCAUGGAAGCGAACUAUAUCUACUACUCAUCUCCAUAUGAAUAUGACGAUGAGGAUCGAUUAACAAGGUUGGACCUCGGUAGUUGCUUUGUCUAUUGCUGGAAAAGCGAUGGCGUGCACCACUUGGAGAGGAUCAUGUCACACAGAUACCAUUACCAUGAGAAGGGUUCGGAGUGUGGUGGUAAAGGUUAUAAUAGUUGUACCUGGGUUCUUCCUCCACCCUUUUAG
rnacentral:rRNA from 1 species